rnacentral:ncRNA from 1 species
GCCAUUUAAAGUGGUACGCGAGCUGGGUUUAGAACGUCGUGAGACAGUUCGGUCCCUAUCUGCCGUGGGCGUUGGAAGAUUGAGAGGGGUUGCUCCUAGUACGAGAGGACCGGAGUGAACGCACCACUGGUGUUCGGGUUGUCAUGCCAAUGGCAUUGCCCGGUAGCUAAGUGCGGAAAAGAUAAGCGCUGAAAGCAUCUAAGCGCGAAACUUGCCUCAAGAUGAGUCUUCCCUGGACCUUUAAGGUCCCUGAAGGAACGUUUAAGACUAAGACGUUGAUAGGCUGGGUGUGUAAGUGCAGCGAUGCAUUGAGCUAACCAGUACUAAUGAUCCGUGAGGCUUAACCUU